rnacentral:ncRNA from 2 species
GCAUUGUCGACGGCAUACGGUGUCCCAGAGCGCAAAGCGCCGGGACUGAAACGGGAAUGAGGAACGGCGGACCCAAUCGCGGCGCCAAAGCCUCAACCGCCCCCGCGACUGUGAGCGGUGAGCGACAUUCAGCAUCCACUGGCCGCUGGGCCGGGAAGGAGAAUGAUCGCCGCGACCCGCGAGUCAGGAGACCGGCCGUAUGAAACGAGGACAG